rnacentral:sRNA from 1 species
CCCAGUCUCUGGGCCCGGUUGUCUGUUGGGGUCACUGAACCCCGAGCAUGCCUAACGUCUGGGACCCCGGGUCCCCGGGCACAGCUGACUGCGGUGACCCCAGAUACCAGGACCCGGGAGGCCUCAGAGAACUCUGGAACCCGUUCGCGCGCGUGGCUGGCGGUGACGCUGGGCGCUGGGGGGGCAGUGCUGUUGUUGCUGUGGGGCGGGGGUCGGGGUCCUCCGGCCGUCCUCGCCGCCGUCCCUGGCCCGCCGCCCGCUUCUCCCCGGAGUCAGUACAACUUCAUCGCAGAUGUGGUGGAGAAGACAGCACCUGCCGUGGUCUAUAUCGAGAUCCUGGACCGGCACCCUUUCUUGGGCCGCGAGGUCCCUAUCUCGAACGGCUCAGGAUUCGUGGUGGCUGCCGAUGGGCUCAUUGUCACCAACGCCCAUGUGGUGGCUGAUCGGCGCAGAGUCCGUGUGAGACUGCUAAGCGGCGACACGUAUGAGGCCGUGGUCACAGCUGUGGAUCCCGUGGCAGACAUCGCAACGCUGAGGAUUCAGACUAAGGAGCCUCUCCCCACGCUGCCUCUGGGACGCUCAGCUGAUGUCCGGCAAGGGGAGUUUGUUGUUGCCAUGGGAAGUCCCUUUGCACUGCAGAACACGAUCACAUCCGGCAUUGUUAGCUCUGCUCAGCGUCCAGCCAGAGACCUGGGACUCCCCCAAACCAAUGUGGAAUACAUUCAAACUGAUGCAGCUAUUGAUUUUGGAAACUCUGGAGGUCCCCUGGUUAACCUGGUGAGUGAGACAUCCUUCCUUCCAAGAAUCCCUGCCCCAGGUCAGUGUGGGAAGGGUAGGUUUUCCCUAAUUCAAGGAUGUUUGGUCAAGUUUCUGAGCAGUUCUUUGUUGGCUAUCUCUCAAUAUCCAACCAGAUCUCCCCAACACUUGCUGGUACUUUUGUUCGGGUGCCCCCAUCCCCUACUAUUUGUUUGGGCUAGGGAACUGGGGGCUGUAUCCCUGCAGGAUGGGGAGGUGAUUGGAGUGAACACCAUGAAGGUCACAGCUGGAAUCUCCUUUGCCAUCCCUUCUGAUCGUCUUCGAGAGUUUCUGCAUCGUGGGGAAAAGAAGAAUUCCUCCUCCGGAAUCAGUGGGUCCCAGCGGCGCUACAUUGGGGUGAUGAUGCUGACCCUGAGUCCCAGCAUCCUUGCUGAACUACAGCUUCGAGAACCAAGCUUUCCCGAUGUUCAGCAUGGUGUACUCAUCCAUAAAGUCAUCCUGGGCUCCCCUGCACACCGGGCUGGUCUGCGGCCUGGUGAUGUGAUUUUGGCCAUUGGGGAGCAGAUGGUACAAAAUGCUGAAGAUGUUUAUGAAGCUGUUCGAACCCAAUCCCAGCUGGCAGUGCAGAUCCGGCGGGGACGAGAAACACUGACCUUAUAUGUGACCCCUGAGGUCACAGAAUGAAUAGAUCACCAAGACUAUGAGGCUCCUGCUCUGAUUUCCUCCUUGCCUUCCUGGCUGAGGCUCUGAGGGCACCGAGACAGAGGGUUAAAUGAACCAGUGGGGGCAGGUCCCUCCAACCACCAGCACUGACUCCUGGGCUCUGAAGAAUCACAGAAACACUUUUUAUAUAAAAUAAAAUUAUACCUAGCAACAUAUUAUAGUAAAAAAUGAGGUGGGAGGGCUGGAUCUUUUCCCCCACCAAAAGGCUAGAGGUAAAGCUGUAUCCCCCUAAACUUAGGGGAGAUACUGGAGCUGACCAUCCUGACCUCCUAUUAAAGAAAAUGAGCUGCUG